rnacentral:lncRNA from 1 species
CUGUGCUCUGCCCACUGGGCAUCGUGUGGAUGGUCGGUGACCAGCCCCCUCAGGUGCUCAGCCAGGCCUCAAGCCUCGCUGUGUACCUCAGAGCAGCUCAGUACCCUGAUGUCACAGCAAAGAAACUUAGACAUGACACAAACUGUGGCUUCCCAAGGCAGCAAAGAAUGGCCACGGGUCAUGAGGGCCGUGCCCCGCUUUUGGACAGACCUACUCUAAAGUCACGCUACCUGCGUGCAAAUCAUAAAAUCAACACUUUUGAGGAGAUCACAGCUAUGCCUUAGUAACACAGCCCAGUCUGACCAGAUAAGACAGUGCCUCGUGACCCGAAAACAAGCCCCCGGCCCCCCACCGUGUGUGAGCCUUACCUUGGACUGCACGCUGAGGGAGCGGAUGGAAGGGACAGCAAGGAGGCCAAAGCGCUCAUAGAGGUACUCAUUGGAGGAGCUUCCCUUCAGGAGGGCGAAAGGAAUGAGGUAGAGCUCCCCCUCCAGAACCAGGAUGAGCUGCCGGUGCCGGCCCACGGGGCCGCUGGAGUGCAUCAGGCCCUAUGGAGCAAGCACGGAGAGGCUGACAUGGGUGGCCCAGCAGGCAGGGGUUUCAGGCACCAGGACAACCCUGAGCCCUAGCCUGGAUGACACAAGCACGAGCAGAACAAGGCUAAAGGUGCGGGCAUCUUAAUGAGAGCAGCAGGCAACAAUCCUGGAAGCUGGGUCCACACAGACUGAGGUGAACAAAGAGGUGGCGUGGAAGCUGCUGCUGCAGCCCAGAGCCUGCCAAGAAGGUCCCAGGUCCACAGGGCCUGUGCAACACUGGGUGCCAGGGGUGGGGCUGGCCUGCCCCCCAACCCCAUCUGCUGAGGAGUGGCUGACAAGCGGACACCCACCAGGGUGCCACUCGCUUGUGCCUGGGGAAGCAAAUGUGCUCGCUUGACCCGUCUGAUGUGCUGCCAUGGGCACUUGACUGAGAGUGGCAGGGCACUAGGCUAACCCAAAGUGACACAUGCCUGGCGGGAUGUUCAGUCUCUG